GCGUCCGUAGCUCAGGGGGAGAGCACCUCCUUGACGCGGAGGGGGCCAGAGGUUCAAAUCCUCUCGGACGCACCA
rnacentral:tRNA from 1 species